UACGUAGGGGGCAAGCGUUGUCCGGAUUUAUUGGGCGUAAAGAGCGUGUAGGCGGCCCGGUAAGUCCGCUGUAAAAGUCAAAGGCUCAACCUUUGAAUGUCAGUGGAUACUGCCGGGCUAGAGUCCGGAAGAGGCGAGUGGAACUCCUGGUGUAGCGGUGGAAUGCGCAGAUAUCAGGAAGAACACCAACGGCGAAGGCAGCUCGCUGGGGACGGUACUGACGCUGAGACGCGAAAGCGUGGGGGAGCGAACAGG
rnacentral:rRNA from 1 species